AAUUCAAUUGAUUGUUGACCUCUGAUAGUUUUUCUCCAAACUUAAUAAUGUUCAAUGAUUGGACAGUAGUAAAUUAUCAUAAAAUAAUACCUGUCACAUCUCUUUCUUGUGCCCCAGCAAAAGUCCGGCCGGAAUUCCGUCGUUUGGAUUGCCUGCGUUCUUCGGCUCUAGCACGUAACACAGCUGGAUCCUGCACAAACUGUGUUCCUUCAUUAUUUAUGCUGGUUCUUGCAACGUCUUGUUCUUCGCUAUCUUCGUCUUCUGAUGCAGCUUGGAGUUUGUUUCGGGAUUGUAAAACCUGAUAUGAAAAAAUGAUUUCAUAGAAGCAAGUGCAGUUUUAAAAUAUUUUGCUCUGAUGUGGAUUACCAUGGGGUCGGGUGGUAUGUGAGGUAAUGUUGGAUCGAGUUCCUUGAUAUCGGGUGGUAAGGAAUCCUCUAAGAUAGCAUUUAUCACAGAUGCGCUAUCAUUACUGUAAUGCUUCAAGCACUUCUAUGAGAAAAUUAUGAAGGGAUUAAAUAUAACCAGCUUGUGACAGUGCAGUUUUCAUAGCUUGGGAAGGUAAAAUAUUUCAGUAUUAUUUUACCACAACACUAAGAUCACUAACUUCGAUAUAUCCCUCGCCAAGAUGUGGUAGAAUAUCUUUAACUUCAGUUAUGAGGGAAGCAUUAUCCGCACCGCCUUCAAGACUAUGAAGUUCCUCGGUGUAAAAGGGACUCUUACUAAUCGAUGGAACAUUGCUUUGUGCACCGCUUGGACCAGCCAUAUUUUUCUAAAUAUAAAAUCAAAUUAUUCAAAAUUGGAACAUCUUUGCUCUGACCUUACUUACAUAAUCAUUGACUUCCAUGGGAAAAGCAUUCUUUGAAUUAAUUUUUUCAGCAAUUUGGCUUAUUUGACUCAUAUCAUUGAUUGAUGAAUAUAAUGACUGUAGAAUGAAAUCACAUUUCAUUGUAUCACUGAGAGUAUAUCGGUGAGUAGUCAAGGAAUCACAUUCUAGAAAAGUUUGUUCAAAUGCAUGUUUAUAAACGAUAAACAAUGGAUGUUAUUAAAUGAUGUCCAGCUAGAAGGAUACACUUCAGGGCAAAUGGAUGUUAAAACAUCCAGGUCCAUGUCAAUGGGAUACAUUUGAUGAUAAUCAAUAAUGAACUCUUUCUCAGAUAGCGCAUCUAAUAAAACACCAAGAUAGC